rnacentral:rRNA from 1 species
CCUACGGGUGGCAGCAGUGAGGAAUAUUGGUCAAUGGACGCAAGUCUGAACCAGCCAUGCCGCGUGCAGGAAGACUGCCCUAUGAGUUGUAAACUGCUUUUGUACGAGGGUAAACUCAGAUACGCGUACCUUUCUGAAAGUAUCGUACGAAUAAGGAUCGGCUAACUCCGUGCCAGCAGCCGCGGUAAUACGGAGGAUUCAAGCGUUAUCCGGAUUUAUUGGGUGUAAAGGGUGCGUAGGCGGUCGGAUAAGUUAGAGGUGAAAUCCCGCGGCUCAACUUCGGAAUUGCCUCUGAUACUGUUCGGCUAGAGAGUAGUUGCGGUAGGCGGAAUGUAUGGUGUAGCGGUGAAAUGCUUAGAGAUCAUACAGAACACCGAUUGCGAAGGCAGCUUACCAAGCUACUUCUGACAUUGAGGCACGAAAGCGUGGGGAGCAAACAGGAUUAGAUACCCCUGUAGUC